UUUUUCUCAUUUCCCUGCUUUCAUUUCAACGUUCCCUCUCGUCUCGUUCCUGUCUUCCGUGUCUCUAAACCUGUGAACGCUCCUAUUAUCACGUUCCCCUCUCGUUCUCUCUCGUUCUCUCUCGUUCCCUCUCAUCUCUAAUUUCUCGGCACUCCUCCCUCCAAACACUCCGGGAACACUCGCCCGUGCUUUCACCAGCUCCAGUGCACCACUUCUGUUUUUUUGAGUUUUCGCAUUUCCAAAACCCUAAUCACGAAUUCACAUUGAAACCACAUUGGGGUGGUGAAGAGGUCAAUGUUCGGUGGCGGAGGGGAGGAGGCGUUGGCGGCGCGGCUUGGCAUGGUGACGCCGUCGCUGAUGAACCCCGCAACGUCGUUGGUGAUAUCCGGGGAGGUGUCAGCGGCGGUGAGGGAGGAGAGGGGACCCGCGCAGCCGCAGUAGAGUCAGCAGGAGACGCGGGAGUUCAUAGCGAUACGGGCGGAGAUGGAGAGGGACUUCACUGCGUCCAAGCGGAACAAGACGCUCUGGGAAGUGGUGAGUUCGAAGAUGAGGGAGAGAGGGUUCAGGAGGAGCCCCGAACAGUACAAAUGCAAGUGGAAGAACCUCGUUAAUCGCUAUAGGAAGAUCAUUUUAUUCACCCGAUCUUGGAAGAAGACAACCUUUAGGUGAGGGAUUGGAGAGCUGGCGUGGUUUCUACCAGAGUAUUCGUCCAACUCAGAUGGGGUUGUCACUGAAUAUUGAUAUGUCCUCCACUGCUUUUAUUGAGCCACUGCCAGUUAUAGAUUUUGUUACCCAAUUGCUGAAAUGUUUCUGCUCGACCUGUGUCUGAUGCUGAUCGAGUGAAGCCAUACAGAAAUAAAGAGAACAUGAGCAGCAGAGUGUUGGAAGCUUCAAAGCAAAGUGACAAAGGGAAGAGAAAAUCUGGACUUCCAGAGGCCCCAACUAAUCUGUUUGAUGAUAGCAAAUGAGGCUUAUCAACAUGCUUCACUUUUCAGUUUCCUGGGGGUUCUGAUCUCUUUCUCAUUGUAUUCUCUUUUGUUUUAAUCAGCUCAAUCAUGUUUGCAACAACUUUCAUUGUGUGGAAAGUUGGUGCAAUCCAUUUCAAUCAGUACUGAGAUGUCCUCUUUAAGAAUUCAACAUAAAUGUAGUUUAGAAAAGCUUCAGCUGCUUCAAACUUCAUCAACUCAUGCUGUUUCUUAAUCAUCAGUUUUUCAUUUCUUAGGUGCUCA